CCCCUCUCAGGAUUGCACCUGGAGAGUUUCCAUUACUCUACCAGUCUCGGCUACAGAAGGGAGAGGCUAGCAGAGGCCUACCCAUUCCAUUCCUAGCUUGGCCAGUGGCUAGCAAGUGGAAGACGAUCCUCUACAAGU